UACCUUGCGCCCGUUAUUGGUCCCCGGCAUUGCGCCGGGGUUAAAAGGGAACCCGGUGAAAGUCCGGGGCUGUCCCGCAGCUGUAAAAGGCUUCACGUAAGUGAAACAGCUUAUUCUACAAUGCCACUGUUCCAAUUGUACCGGAAACGGGAAGGCAAAUAAGCUGGGCCCUGAGCCAGAAGACCUGCCAUAACAACGAAUUCGCG
rnacentral:ncRNA from 1 species